rnacentral:rRNA from 1 species
GACGAACGCUGGCGGCGUGCUUAACACAUGCAAGUCGAACGGAAAGGCCCUGCUUUUGUGGGGUGCUCGAGUGGCGAACGGGUGAGUAACACGUGAGUAACCUGCCCUUGACUUUGGGAUAACUUCAGGAAACUGGGGCUAAUACCGGAUAGGAGCUCCUGCUGCAUGGUGGGGGUUGGAAAUUUUCGGCGGUCGGGGGUGGACUCGCGGCUUAUCAGCUUGUUGGUGGGGUAGUGGCUUACCCAGGCUUUGACGGGUAGCCGGCCUGAGAGGGUGACCGGCGACAUUGGGACUGAGAUACGGACCAGUCUCCUACGGGGGGCAGCAGGGGGGAAUAUUGCACAAUGGGCGCAAGCCUGAUGCAGCAACGCCGCGUGCGGGAUGACGGCCUUCGGGUUGUAAACCGCUUUCGCCUGUGACGAAGCGUGAGUGACGGUAAUGGGUAAAGAAGCACCGGCUAACUACGUG